AAAAAAAAGAAUUUAAACCUGCUCUUAUUUACUCGUUCCUUGUAUGAGUUGUAUCUUGUUCUCUUUGACAUGAUCGUUGAUCGAGCAGUACGCUUUUACUACUAUAUACCUCCUGUCUUAUCCAGUAUUAGAAACAAAAGUGUAUAUUUUUUUAGUCCAAAUUAUAAAAAAUAUAGGAUCAUUUUAUUUUCAAAUAGCAUUUUUAUUCCUAAUUAAUCAUAACACUACUGCAAAAAGCGGAUUCAACAACGAUGUGUUAACAUUGAUUGUUAAAAAAACCGAUGUUAAUAUAUGCAUAGUGGC
rnacentral:lncRNA from 1 species